rnacentral:rRNA from 1 species
AUGCAAUGUCAAACUAAUAUAUUGGUGUGUUUUUUCCGGAAACUAGCAAUAUUGUUUUGGAUUAAUAUGUGGUGUCGAACAAUUACAAGUGCUCUUUAUCCUCCUAUUCCCCAACAAUUUGGAGUGUAUGUAUGUAAACUAUAUACACCCGGUUCAGAUUUUUUUUCACUAGAACAUCUUAUAAUUCGAAAAGCAGGGAGUAUGUUGUUCCCUGAAAUCCCCCAGCCAUAUAGGAAAGAAAAAACACCAAAUAUUCGAUUCCUAGACCACUACGACUUCAGGAAGAACAUUGGUGACGGGCAAAUUCGUGACUCCGCCGAGACCACAGCAUCCGAAAUAUUCUCCGGGGCAAGUGGGAUAAAUUGA